CUCCCUCUCUCUCUUUUCCUUCCUCCCUCCCCUUCCCCUCUCCUUCUCCUUUUCCUUCCUUCUCCCUCCGGCAGCCCACCGUUCCCCCGUUCCCCGUCUCCUGCGCGCCGCCAGUUGUCGCAGCCGUCCUCCCCGCUCCUUCCCGCCGCCGCCGACGUCGACCAAAGGCUAGGGGGAGGCUGCCAUUGUCGGUUCGGCCUCCUGCCGGCGUCCUUUCCGCAAACCGACGCCGGAAUCGGACUCCCCAUCCCCAAAAACCCCGGAAGCAACCCUCCUCCGUCGGAAAAUCCUUGCCGGCAGCCUUGGAAAGUGUCGCGUGAGCAGCGACUUUCCGGCCCCGAUCCGCCGCCUUCCGGCCACUUUCCGGCCAAAACUCUUGUACUUUCGGACUCCCCGCAACUUGAGCUUCGCGUAGGCGCUUCCGGAUUUGAAUUCCGACACUGUUGG
rnacentral:lncRNA from 1 species